AGAGUUCGAUCCUGGCUCAGGAUGAACGCUGGCGGCGCGCCUAACACAUGCAAGUCGAACGGCACCUAUCUUCGGAUAGAAGCGAGUGGCGAACGGCUGAGUAACACGUGGAGAACCUGCCCCCUCCCCCGGGAUAGCCGCCCGAAAGGACGGGUAAUACCGGAUACCCCGGGGUGCCGCAUGGCACCCCGGCUAAAGCCCCGACGGGAGGGGAUGGCUCCGCGGCCCAUCAGGUAGACGGCGGGGUGACGGCCCACCGUGCCGACAACGGGUAGCCGGGUUGAGAGACCGACCGGCCAGAUUGGGACUGAGACACGGCCCAGACUCCUACGGGAGGCAGCAGUGGGGAAUCUUGCGCAAUGGGGGGAACCCUGACGCAGCGACGCCGCGUGCGGGACGGAGGCCUUCGGGUCGUAAACCGCUUUCAGCAGGGAAGAGUCAAGACUGUACCUGCAGAAGAAGCCCCGGCUAACUACGUGCCAGCAGCCGCGGUAAUACGUAGGGGGCGAGCGUUAUCCGGAUUCAUUGGGCGUAAAGCGCGCGUAGGCGGCCCGGCAGGCCGGGGGUCGAAGCGGGGGGCUCAACCCCCCGAAGCCCCCGGAACCUCCGCGGCUUGGGUCCGGUAGGGGAGGGUGGAACACCCGGUGUAGCGGUGGAAUGCGCAGAUAUCGGGUGGAACACCGGUGGCGAAGGCGGCCCUCUGGGCCGAGACCGACGCUGAGGCGCGAAAGCUGGGGGAGCGAACAGGAUUAGAUACCCUGGUAGUCCCAGCCGUAAACGAUGGACGCUAGGUGUGGGGGGACGAUCCCCCCGUGCCGCAGCCAACGCAUUAAGCGUCCCGCCUGGGGAGUACGGCCGCAAGGCUAAAACUCAAAGGAAUUGACGGGGGCCCGCACAAGCAGCGGAGCAUGUGGCUUAAUUCGAAGCAACGCGAAGAACCUUACCAGGGCUUGACAUAUGGGUGAAGCGGGGGAGACCCCGUGGCCGAGAGGAGCCCAUACAGGUGGUGCAUGGCUGUCGUCAGCUCGUGU
rnacentral:rRNA from 1 species